rnacentral:rRNA from 1 species
AAAUUGAAGAGUUUGAUCAUGGCUCAGAUUGAACGCUGGCGGCAGGCCUAACACAUGCAAGUCGAACGGUAACAGGAAGCAGCUUGCUGCUUUGCUGACGAGUGGCGGACGGGUGAGUAAUGUCUGGGAAACUGCCUGAUGGAGGGGGAUAACUACUGGAAACGGUGGCUAAUACCGCAUAACGUCGCAAGACCAAAGAGGGGGACCUUCGGGCCUCUUGCCAUCAGAUGUGCCCAGAUGGGAUUAGCUUGUUGGUGAGGUAACGGCUCACCAAGGCGACGAUCCCUAGCUGGUCUGAGAGGAUGACCAGCCACACUGGAACUGAGACACGGUCCAGACUCCUACGGGAGGCAGCAGUGGGGAAUAUUGCACAAUGGGCGCAAGCCUGAUGCAGCCAUGCCGCGUGUAUGAAGAAGGCCUUCGGGUUGUAAAGUACUUUCAGCGGGGAGGAAGGUGUUGUGGUUAAUAACCGCAGCAAUUGACGUUACCCGCAGAAGAAGCACCGGCUAACUCCGUGCCAGCAGCCGCGGUAAUACGGAGGGUGCAAGCGUUAAUCGGAAUUACUGGGCGUAAAGCGCACGCAGGCGGUCUGUCAAGUCGGAUGUGAAAUCCCCGGGCUCAACCUGGGAACUGCAUUCGAAACUGGCAGGCUUGAGUCUUGUAGAGGGGGGUAGAAUUCCAGGUGUAGCGGUGAAAUGCGUAGAGAUCUGGAGGAAUACCGGUGGCGAAGGCGGCCCCCUGGACAAAGACUGACGCUCAGGUGCGAAAGCGUGGGGAGCAAACAGGAUUAGAUACCCUGGUAGUCCACGCCGUAAACGAUGUCUACUUGGAGGUUGUGCCCUUGAGGCGUGGCUUCCGGAGCUAACGCGUUAAGUAGACCGCCUGGGGAGUACGGCCGCAAGGUUAAAACUCAAAUGAAUUGACGGGGGCCCGCACAAGCGGUGGAGCAUGUGGUUUAAUUCGAUGCAACGCGAAGAACCUUACCUGGUCUUGACAUCCACGGAACUUUCCAGAGAUGGAUUGGUGCCUUCGGGAACCGUGAGACAGGUGCUGCAUGGCUGUCGUCAGCUCGUGUUGUGAAAUGUUGGGUUAAGUCCCGCAACGAGCGCAACCCUUAUCCUUUGUUGCCAGCG